UGAGUAACCUGCCCUUAACUCUGGGAUAAGCCUGGGAAACUGGGUCUAAUACCGGAUAUGACUCCUCAUCGCAUGGUGGGGGGUGGAAAGCUUUAUUGUGGUUUUGGAUGGACUCGCGGCCUAUCAGCUUGUUGGUGAGGUAAUGGCUCACCAAGGCGACGACGGGUAGCCGGCCUGAGG
rnacentral:rRNA from 1 species